ACAUGCAAGUCGAGCGGGGAAAAGUAGCUUGCUACUUAACUUAGCGGCGGACGGGUGAGUAAUACUUAGGAAUCUACCUAAUAGUGGGGGACAACAUUUCGAAAGGGAUGCUAAUACCGCAUACGCCCUACGGGGGAAAGCAGGGGAUCUUCGGACCUUGCGCUAAUAGAUGAGCCUAAGUCGGAUUAGCUAGUUGGUGGGGUAAAGGCCUACCAAGGCGACGAUCUGUAGCGGGUCUGAGAGGAUGAUCCGCCACACUGGGACUGAGACACGGCCCAGACUCCUACGGGAGGCAGCAGUGGGGAAUAUUGGACAAUGGGGGGAACCCUGAUCCAGCCAUGCCGCGUGUGUGAAGAAGGCCUUUUGGUUGUAAAGCACUUUAAGCGAGGAGGAGGCUCCCAGUAUUAAUACUACUGGAGAGUGGACGUUACUCGCAGAAUAAGCACCGGCUAACUCUGUGCCAGCAGCCGCGGUAAUACAGAGGGUGCAAGCGUUAAUCGGAUUUACUGGGCGUAAAGCGUGCGUAGGUGGCCAAUUAAGUCAGAUGUGAAAUCCCCGAGCUUAACUUGGGAAUUGCAUUCGAUACUGGUUGGCUAGAGUAUGGGAGAGGAUGGUAGAAUUCCAGGUGUAGCGGUGAAAUGCGUAGAGAUCUGGAGGAAUACCGAUGGCGAAGGCAGCCAUCUGGCCUAAUACUGACACUGAGGUACGAAAGCAUGGGGAGCAAACAGGAUUAGAUACCCUGGUAGUCCAUGCCGUAAACGAUGUCUACUAGCCGUUGGGGUCUUUGAGACUUUA
rnacentral:rRNA from 1 species